UAUGCACAGGAUGACUGGAUGAAGGUAUUUGGAUCUGUUCGGAUCUGAACUUUAUUGUCCUGCUGUUCAUUAUGAGGUUAUUUGUACACACUGUAUUAUUGUGAUUUUGGAAUAUGUCAGGUGUAUCUCAUAUUUGUUAUGCUUUGUGAAGAUAUAAAUAAAAUAUUUGGCAUUUACAGAUUUGUAGUUUUCAGUUUGAUGAAGAGCUCAAAUAUCACUUGUCCUUGUGUGGUGAAAAUAAAUUCAGUAUAUUCAGCAGUGUGCCAACUUUAUGUGCUUUACACAUGUAUUUUAAGUCAUUUCUGUAUCAUUUCUGAAGCUGACAGACAUUCCACAAAUAUACUGGAUUAAUUGAACUAUAGUCUAAUUGAACAAAUGCAUGAAUGUUGUAGGCUAUAAUAUAAAAUAGAUCUUACAAUUUAUUUUACAAAUAAAAGUACAAAAAGAGUAGCUCUUUUUUCUGUUAAGUUUCUCUCUGACCAAUUUAUCAAUCGCCUCUCACUGUUUAAACUGCAGUGUGACUUUUACAACCAAUGUAUUCUGAAUAACAUCACAGAUUUUUAAACUAAAUUUUAGCCUACUCAAAGCAUCUUGCCAACACAGACAAUCUGUGAAACAUCUUCACCUGUUCAGCAUCUGUUUAAAUCCACACAAGCCACUUUAAACCGAGUGCCACUGAGGAAGAGCCUCUUACUGUGAGAUCUGCUCUGGAGAAGCCUUUAAUAAACCAGGGUUAAAUUACAUGUGUUUAAUGUUGUCUAACCCAUGAUUGGUUUAACUUGUGUGAAAAACCUUCUUGUGAUAGUGAUGUGACGAGAUAAAGAGGAAACCACAAGGCCAUCAUCAUAUCUUCUGAUUGGCAGAUGCAGUUCAUAAUUCAUCAAACUCCUGGAUGACAGAUGUAGACAUGGCGAUGUCUGGAAUGAUAACAUUUGUGUUGUUAGUAGUCUUAAUAGGUUGUUUAAAUGGACAAAAUAUUCCUACGCAUCCUGACCGUGUGACGAUUAAGACAAAGGGUAGAACUGCUGUAAUCACAUGCCAGGUGGAUUCAUCGACGCUUCAGUCCAGCGCUCUCCACUGGUACAGAGCUCAGUCAGGGGGAGCUUUCCAACGAUUAAUAUAUUUCGAUGCUGGAUCGACAAAAGCCAAAAUCGAUGGGGAUAAUAAGAAAAAAUAUGCUGGAUCGGUGAGAAAUGACCAAGUGUCACUGACUAUCUCAACACUGACGCUCCAAGAUACAGGAUCAUAUUACUGCGCGCUCUAUACUGGAGACAACACAGUGCUAACUGUAAGAGGAAAUCAUUACAAAAACCUGCUUUCAUAAUCAAAGCGGUUUAUGUGGAACAACAGUAGCAGCAAGGGGGAGACAUGCGGAAUAUUUUAAUUGUGGCGUUACUUUUUGUUUCCAGUAUGUCAUAAAAACAAUUUUAAAUGUUCAAAAAAAAGUGUCUCAGAAGAACCCUAAACACAAUACUGUACCAAACACAGAGACUGUUAACAAUAGGCUACAAUAAAACCGUUUCUUCCACUUCAGGCUAGUCAUCUUUAUAGGCUAUCCCAUAGGUUAAUCUUUAGCUAUUAAAAUAAAAAGCAUUUUCUUUUUGUUAAAUGAAGGUAACAUUUAUAAAUUACUUGCAAACGUUUUAUCAUGUCUUGAUUCUUAUGUAAAAUGCCUUUUGUGAAUAUAUUUUCUUUUUAAUUUACACUUGUCACAAACUCAGAUCUCAAUCUUAAUUUAUGGAAAAAACAUUUUACAUUUAAAAUAGCAAUGGGGAUUACAGUAAUCUUAGUUAAACAAUAUAGGCUCAUUUGACCAUUUGUUGUGUGAAAUUUAUUUUUAAAUACAUUUUUAUAUAUAUAUAUAUAUAUAUAUAUAUAUAUAUAUAUAUAUAUAUAUAUAUUCAAACCGUCCCACAGCUGUGACAUCACUUCCUCCACUAUCAAAUGUUUUGCCUGUAAUAAAGUUCUAUCAAAAAUGAA